ACUCCUACGGGAGGCAGCAGUAGGGAAUUUUCCGCAAUGGACGAAAGUCUGACGGAGCAAUGCCGCGUGAGUGAUGAAGGUUUUCGAAUCGUAAAGCUCUGUUGUAAGGGAAGAAUAGCAAGAAUAGGAAAUGAUUCUUGUCUGACGGUACCUUACCAGAAAGCCACGGCUAACUACGUGCCAGCAGCCGCGGUAAUACGUAGGUGGCAAGCGUUAUCCGGAAUUAUUGGGCGUAAAGCGCAUGUAGGCGGCUUUUUAAGUCUGAUGUGAAAGCCAGUGGCUCAACCACUGAAUUGCAUUGGAUACUGGAAAGCUAGAAUCUUGGAGAGGUAAGUGGAAUUUCAUGUGUAGCGGUGGAAUGCGUAGAGAUCUGAAGGAAUACCGGUGGCGAAGGCGGCCCCCUGGACAGAUACUGACACUCAGAUGCGAAAGCGUGGGGAGCAAACAGGAUUAGAUACCCUGGUAGCUACGAGU
rnacentral:rRNA from 1 species